rnacentral:rRNA from 1 species
GAUGAACGCUGGCGGCGUGCCUAAUACAUGCAAGUCGAGCGAACAGACGAGGAGCUUGCUCCUCUGACGUUAGCGGCGGACGGGUGAGUAACACGUGGAUAACCUACCUAUAAGACUGGGAUAACUUCGGGAAACCGGAGCUAAUACCGGAUAAUAUAUUGAACCGCAUGGUUCAAUAGUGAAAGACGGUUUUGCUGUCACUUAUAGAUGGAUCCGCGCCGCAUUAGCUAGUUGGGAAGGUAACGGCUUACCAAGGCAACGAUGCGUAGCCGACCUGAGAGGGUGAUCGGCCACACUGGAACUGAGACACGGUCCAGACUCCUACGGGAGGCAGCAGUAGGGAAUCUUCCGCAAAGGGCGAAAGCUUGACGGAGCAACGCCGCGUGAGUGAUGAAGGUCUUCGGAUCGUAAAACUCUGUUAUUAGGGAAGAACAAAUGUGUAAGUAACUAUGCACGUCUUGACGGUACCUAAUCAGAAAGCCACGGCUAACUACGUG